CAGGUAGAUCUUACUUGAGAAUCGCAACUUAGGCGUCGACGACCACCUUUGCUUCACUAUCCAUUUAUGCCUGAACUAGAUUUAUCAGUGACAGAGAUGUGGCACAUAUUAUCAGCAAUGACUUCGAACAGGAUCAGGUAUGGGGUAAAAUAUGGCAUGCUUUCCAGCUCUACUUGUGGAGGUAACAAUGGUGAAAUCACUCUCGACAAUGUACAACCCAUUACAAAACCUCUCCACAAUUUUACGCAACCUUCUUCUGGAUAGUGCUCUUUCUACCUAUAAGAUUGUUGGAUUUGAAAGCUGUGAUGAUGAAGAAAAAAAAAGAACUACAGAAAUUUAGGAAUGAAAUAUCGAAAAAAAAUGAGAGGUGGACGGAUAUUUGGUUCCAAAAUCUACCAUGGACCCAUUUCCGUACAGUUUUGGCAACCCCUUCCAAACACAUUAAAACUUAGUUGCGCGUGUACAGGGGACUCAGGCGCAUGUAUCAAUGUGCAUAAGAACUUCUAUCAUUAUUGGUGUAGCCACAAUUGAUGCCCAAAAGUGACAAUUUGGGAACCUAAAGCCGUCCACGGACGGGAAUAGGUUACCCGUCCACAAAUACUGAAGGUGAACAUAUUCCCGUCCAUCAACUUGUAAGACCCAGUAGAGCGUCGAAUACAAGUAUUACCUAGAUAAUCAGUCAGUUUGAAAUACGAGCAUUUGUUCGACAAAAGAUACAAAAUUUUCUCGAAAAUUUUAUUUGAAAAACGGAAAGUUCGGUUUAAGAAACGUUCGACA